GCCAUGCAUGUCUAAGUAUAAGCAAUUAUACAGCGAAACUGCGAAUGGCUCAUUAAAUCAGUUAUCGUUUAUUUGAUAGUACCUUACUACAUGGAUAACCGUGGUAAUUCUAGAGCUAAUACAUGCUGAAAACCCCGACUUUGGAAGGGGUGUAUUUAUUAGAUUAAAAACCAAUGCCCUCCGGGGCUCACUGGUGAUUCAUGAUAACUUCUCGAAUCGCACGGCCUUGCGCCGGCGAUGGUUCAUUCAAAUUUCUGCCCUAUCAACUUUCGACGGCUGGGUCUUGGCCAGCCGUGGUGACAACGGGUAACGGAGGGUUAGGGCUCGACCCCGGAGAAAACGCCUGAGAAACGGCGUUUACAUCCAAGGAAGGCAGCAGGCGCGCAAAUUACCCAAUGCCGACACGGCGAGGUAGUGACGAGAAAUACUGAUACAGGGCUCUUUUGGGUCUUGUAAUUGGAAUGAGUACAAUUUAAAUCUCUUAACGAGGAACAAUUGGAGGGCAAGUCUGGUGCCAGCAGCCGCGGUAAUUCCAGCUCCAAUAGCGUAUAUUAAAGUUGUUGCAGUUAAAAAGCUCGUAGUUGAACCUUGGGCCUGGCUGGCCGGUCCGCCUCACCGCGUGCACUGGUCCGGCCGGGCCUUUCCCUCUGGGGAGCCCCAUGCCCUUUACUGGGCGUGGUGGGGAACCAGGACUUUUACUUUGAAAAAAUUAGAGUGUUCAAAGCAGGCCUAUGCUCGAAUACAUUAGCAUGGAAUAAUAGAAUAGGACGUGUGGUUCUAUUUUGUUGGUUUCUAGGACCGCCGUAAUGAUUAAUAGGGACAGUCGGGGGCGUCAGUAUUCAAUUGUCAGAGGUGAAAUUCUUGGAUUUAUUGAAGACUAACUACUGCGAAAGCAUUCGUCAAGGAUGUUUUCAUUAAUCA
rnacentral:rRNA from 1 species